GCUGGUGUUACUCACCGGGAAGAGUGUUGGCUUCUAAAUUCAAAUGCUGUUGGUUCAAUCCCUGUCUCUAGCA
rnacentral:tRNA from 1 species